rnacentral:rRNA from 1 species
GACGAACGCUGGCGGCGUGCCUAAUACAUGCAAGUAGAACGCUGAAGGAGGAGCUUGCUUCUCUGGAUGAGUUGCGAACGGGUGAGUAACGCGUAGGUAACCUGCCUGGUAGCGGGGGAUAACUAUUGGAAACGAUAGCUAAUACCGCAUAAGAGUAGAUGUUGCAUGACAUUUGCUUAAAAGGUGCAAUUGCAUCACUACCAGAUGGACCUGCGUUGUAUUAGCUAGUUGGUGAGGUAACGGCUCACCAAGGCGACGAUACAUAGCCGACCGGAGAGGGUGAUCGGCCACACUGGGACUGAGACACGGCCCAGACUCCUACGGGAGGCAGCAGUAGGGAAUCUUCGGCAAUGGACGGAAGUCUGACCGAGCAACGCCGCGUGAGUGAAGAAGGUUUUCGGAUCGUAAAGCUCUGUUGUAAGAGAAGAACGAGUGUGAGAGUGGAAAGUUCACACUGUGACGGUAUCUUACCAGAAAGGGACGGCUAACUACGUG